ensembl:lncRNA LOC108349475 uncharacterized LOC108349475
CUUGAGAAAGCCAGAGGUGACUGGUUCCCAGGGGCUGGAGUUAGGCAAUCCUAAUGUGAGGACUGAGACUCCAACUCCAGUGCCCUGGAAGAACAGCAAAUGCUCAGCUUAAUGGCAGAGUGGUAUCUCCAGCCCCUGGGGUCUCUUUUAAAAGGACACUCACAUCAUCCACAGAGUUGAAGCAUCACCCUCCAAGCUUCUAUUCCCGAUACUGAUGAUGACGGUUCACCAGAUGAGUUCAGAUUUCAAAGUGUCACUUUGGGGAAGAAGACACAGUGUUUCCUUUGGGAUGCCUCAUUGCUGCUGAAGACAUCACUACGUCAGAGACAAACUCGUCUUUGCAUUUUCUCAGCCUGCAGUCCACAGCGCUGCCUGCAUCAGUGCUGCUUGGUGGUGCUACUUAAGCCAUCUGCCAUCUGCAUUCAUCGUCUAUCAGAGGAAGCCAGGGGGGCCUGCCAAGACAAUGGUGUAGAACCGUAGUCCUAUGUUUCUCUCCAAGACAAAUUACAGCCUUGGGGAGAAAGUUCUGAAAACCUAGAAGAGGAAUUAAUUGGGAGUUCCAGGAAGAAAAGAACCAUUCUCUUCUAAGCAAUGGAUGAACAGUAUAGUAAAGGAGUUGUGAAAAAAAUGCAUCUCAAGAACUCUGAAGCAUUUGAGAACUAUUACUCAAGAGCUAUCAUUCGAGUUUAGGAAGCUAUGUGGGUUAAGGGUCCGAUCAUCCAUGAGACUGAAUCUACCCUAAUAAAAGACAAAGCCAAGCCUCAAAGUCAACUUAUUCAAAGCUCAUCUUUUCAAAAUGGCUACAGUUUGUAUUUUUCUGAAAACUGAAUUUA